ensembl:lncRNA
AGACUGAAAAGAAUGCCUGGGCUGAAGCUGGCCAGUUGCUCAGAAAGCCGUGUUAGGAAGGUACCAGUAAAAAAGAAAGAUUUCAAAAUGAUUUGCCAUACGCUAUUUUGAAACAAUGAGAACAGCAGCAGAAUUAUCUAUGAACCAUCUCUGCUUGGAAAGCCACCAGGAGGAGGCUUGGCCUUCCCAGAAGUGCACCAACAGCAGCAAAGAGUCUCUUGCAACCACUUAGCUACCUCUUUCUGCUCCGCAGCUGGGAUUAAUGCCCAAUUCUGUGAGCAUUUUUCCUCUUCCUCCUGUUUGCUCCACUGCAAAGUCAGACAGCUUAGUAUAAACUCCCUUCAAAGAAGCAUUCCAGCUGCUGAAUCAGCUGAGAAGACAAAGAGCAAGGCUGGUGUGAAGCCCAUUCUGGAGCAGUGGAAACCAACAAAAUUAAAACAAACAAACAAAAAAUAUAUGAGGAAUCUGCACACAGGCAGCAGGAGCACUGCAAGAUAAAUUUACAUUUCAUAGUGGGAAACAAACCAUCCCACAAAGAUACGAUAAAUCAUCAGAGGAACAACGAGGUGCCAUGACACAUGCAUAUGUUUUUCUACAGUCACAUGAAAUGAAGAUACGAGGCACAGAACCCAAUCUCCAUCUCAAAGAUUUGUUAACCAUAACCAAGCCUGUCUGCAUAAAGAGCAGCCUUGCUGAAAUUUCAAGUAUAGACUUUUUUUUUUUUCCAACAGUAGUUCCCCAAUUCUUUUUUUUUUAUUAAUGUGUCUUGGUCAAUCCACUAACCUAGUUUUCAAAUCACAAGGAUUCUUAAGACUUUGUUAUAUAGGCACAAGGGCAACAUAGACUUACUUCUAGUGAUAUUUUGAUUACAAGGAGGAAAAAAGGCUGCAAUUUUAGCAAAACAAGUUUUGUAACAAGAUUAUUCAUUCUGGUUCAACAUCACUGACUUUUGUGAACAUAGACGAGAAAGAAGUUUGGACAAAUCAGUUUGUAGAAACAAAUGAAAAAUUCACAUAGAAAUAUUAUUUUGAUCAAGAAGUAAUUUCCAUGAAAGCAAACAAACAAAUUCCAUAUAAAAACAUGUUGAUUUCCUCCUUUUUUUUUCUUUUUUCUUUUUUUUUUUUUUUGUUUUUGUUUUAAGUUUAUUUUUUUUUUUCCCCAUAGAAAACCCAACAAACGCAUUUUAGUUUGGCUUUGUUUGACCCAAAUUAGGGUAUGGGGGAGGGGUGUUGAAAACUGAGCCAGAUUGUUUCAAAUCAACUGGCUUGGCAUAAAACUACAUUUCCUACCAAUGCUUUUGCUUUGCCAAUCAUAGCUUCAAUUCCCCAUCUCUUUUGGGCCAGCCUCCCUAGAAGACCAUAUAUCCUAUAAAGUAAUAAAUGGAUUUCACUGACACAUGGCUUGUCUACGAGAUAAUUAAUUCUCAGUAAGCGAGGAUAUGAAUUUACAGUGUACUAGCUAUGCUGCACUGACUGUCCAUAUGGACAUUCUAAUUGCAUUGUGGCUUACUCUAUCUAAAGAACAUUAAGGAUAUAACUACGCAGGCUCGUUACUAGGAAGAAAGCGAGGAUAAGGGUUUACUACUCUCUAUGGCACUAGCUGCUAUGCUUGAAUUGCCUUGGUGAGCACUCCUUUCUUGGAGUAAUGUGACAGAGCCCUGAGUAUCCAGGAUGGACUUGCUGUAGACUAAUUCUGUAAAUUCAGAACCUGAGCUGGCCUCUACAGGGAAAUAUUGAUCCAUAUGAUGCAUCAUACUCCAGAAUAUGAAGCAGCUUACUUGCUCUGCGCACUUUCAAUUCCCUCCUGUGUGCCACCAUAUGGAAGAGAGACACGUAUAGAUUCAUCCCUUCCCAAGAUACAAUUCAGUAUGCAUCCACUGAUCAAUCUCUUCAGUUUUUCAGAACAUACUGCAUGAGGGUCAUGUUCAACACAAUUGCCUUUUCCUUGCUGUGGUUUGAUUCUUCCAAAAUGCCUAACCAGUUUGAGCAAACUUCAGAUGAUAACUGUUCAGGUAAUUCCAGCUGGAAUGUACUAAUCUACAAUACUCCAGGCUUGGCAUCUGUCCUGGUUUCCAGCCUUAAUGGUGCAGGAAAGUGGCAAAUACUCAUGAGUGCGGUUGGAGGCAAGAACUAAUCAGGUUCCUAUCUUUCUUCAGCAUAAGCACAGCAGUAGAAGUUGAGACUCAGACCAUUUGUAGUUGCUACUGAAUUAAUUCAGUUUUUCAUGGCUGCUCUAUCAACUGGAAGUCUCACAGAAGGAUUCCUUGUGAAGCUGUCAAAAGUGCUGGUUUCUAACCAGGAUUAAAAUAGCCUGGAGCAGACUUCAAGGCCAAUGAAGCCUGCAGAUGCUAGAACUAGGGAGUUCAAAGAUGGACUGUAUAGUUGAGCUCUGUGGCCAGGCAUGCAUAGUGUCCACAGUUACCUCCAGGUCUCCUCCUCCUUUUUUUGUUUUCCUCUUCUCUUGCCACUCAAAGGACCAUCAAGUUCAAAGCGUGCUUUGCCUGUAGGGGUAUUACCCUUUGUUUUACUUAUUGUUGCCUUUAUUUUUUGUUUGCUUUAUCUGAUGGUGGCUCCUUUACUCCGCCUAUAAUUUUCACUAUCGCACAAUCUUAAAGACUUUUGACAGAUUAGGCUGACAGUAGGUAACAUAUUCAGACCUUACUGGGGAAAGGCAUGAGGAUAGUGACAGACAACAGCUGAACGGAGUCACAUAUACAACAGUGAUAAACCUAAUAUUCUUGGAAGAUCAGAAAAAAAAUGUUCCCAAGAUUUUGUUCUUUGUUUCAGAAGUCUAUGCUUAUAACCUUUCUAUUUUUAUUUCUAGCCAUACAUUGAAAUACAUUUUCCAUGUGAGGCAAAAGGGAAAAUUUCAUACUGAAAUGUAUUUAUAGUGAGUAGCCAGCCUAAACACAGCAUCAGACACACAAAAAAAUACAAAUUUGCAAGGUGCUUUAAAUCUAAAAUUAGAUCUGAACUUUACACAUCUCUCUAUAUAUGUGUAUAUAUAUACCUCUGUAUGUAAGUUCUACUGUCAAUUUACAAAUAACAUAAAACACCAUUUCCAAAUUUUGGAACAGUAACCUGGUAUUGCAAAAUAAAAAAAAAAUUAAAACAACACCAUCACCACCACCAAAGUAACCCUAGCGAAUUCCUCGGCAUCAAUCCUUCUCACAUUUAGACCACCUAAAGUGUGCAGCGCUACACUGGGGAGACUUGAUCUGAUGCAGUCAUUUGAUACAGCAGAUAUCCUGCCAAAUCUAAAGUCUUAUAAUGUAAGUAAAUCCUUUUACUUGAGAUGGAUUGUAAUGUUAUGAUGUUUUAUGGGAAUAAUCUACAUAGUGAAUAUUGCACUCAGAAAUAAGGGUUUGAAGCAAGAGAUUCUCAGAUAAAUAGAAAUAUUCUUUUUCUUGCAAAAUUUGGCUCUUCAGUUUGUCAGCCCGAGGAGUCUCUAGGAAUUAAUUCCUGAUGCACUUGAAGAAAUUUCUGUUCGUGAUUCAUUCAUAGAGAAAUAAACAGUAAAAACCUUUUUCCACAUCAACUUGCAACUCCAUUCAUAUUUAUCAACCGGUUCUUAAUCCAUUUAAUCCAGCCAGAGUGCCUGUGAAAAGGAGAGAGGUAUGGUGUGAAAUGUGACAGCCACCAGAGCAGCAGGAGGAAUCUGUUAUUUCAUACCCGUCCUUCCAUGUUGCAGUAGUUCUGUGGCUCCCAAGCGCGAUGGGGUGGGCGCCUGCACAGAAGCAGUUCCCAGGGAGACGCUGAGGCUUUGCUACUGAGGCAAUGCUGGGCACUGUGUCCUCAGGGGAAGGCAUGGGGUGGAGAAGCAGAGGGCACAGUGGUUGGCGAGUGUCUAGAGGUAGGAAACAUUUGCUUAUAUUCUUUAUUUUUUAAACUGUUACUUUUCCUUUCUUUUACUUUGGAGGUCUAAGAGACUGGCUUUGUCCCUAUUCCUCUACCAUGACCAUGAAACACCUGUGUGGAUCGGUAGAAAGAAUGGGUUUGGUGUGAGCAAAGGUACGUUUAAAGGUAAUGGCUGUGUACUUCUCACAGGUGUGUGUGGUGCAGAGAAAAACUCUUAGCCUUUUUUCACUUGAUUUGCCAAAUCCCCAGCCCUGCAUCAGGGCUCCCAGCUCUGCCCAGCUGCCGGAUGGUGCUCUGGGAUUCAUCCCCUGCACUGCCUGCUUCUCUUUUCUGUUCACUGGAUCCCUUUGCUGUCCUAUGACCUGUCUAAUGCGGAGGAGAAGAAACGUGGUUGACUGCACAAAGAGGUUUCCCUCAUCCAUCAGUUCAUCUUCCCCUCCAGCCCUCUGCCAUAAAAUUGGCCUGUGAAAAGGAACACUGGAAGAAAAAGGACAAAAGCUGGACUAAAGUAAUCAAAGGAAGGGAAGAAGGAAGAGGUGAUGGGAGCAGCCAGAGCUCAGCAUGUAGGGUGAAGGGAGCUGCACCAAGCAGGAAAAGAUGCUUUCUGUCUUUCACCUGAUGACAAUCCCUCCUGAAGUGCUGAGACUUGAAAUUAAAACAGAGACUUCAUUUCAUGAGUGUGUGUGAUGCCUAAUGCUGGUUUUAUAGAAUUAUGUGGAAACCUCAUGCAAAUUUGCCUUCAGGCUUUUCCAUGUCCUAACCCAGACAGCUCUUUCCUCCUUUCAAUGCUUAGCAACUUAUAUCGUUCUAAACUACAGAGACAGUGUAUUAGUUUACCCAAAUUCACUGUCAUUUGAUUGCAUUUUGUUUUACUCACAAGUGAAUGAUGCAGAGGUGCCAGUGCAAGAAGUCUUCCAUGCAAACCCCUGCUAGCAGCAGACAAAUGGACAGAUUCCAGGUUGUCUUAAUUUUUUCAAUUAGCUGUUCUAAUACAAUUCCUCACCAAGCAUUUCUGAUCUUCAAGGUGUUGCAUUUACAAGAAAGCAUUAGAGAAAGAGGAGGUAUCUUUGCUUAUCAGAUUAAAGAAACUAAUUAUGUUGAGGAUUUUUUAGUACUUAAAAAAACAAGAAGUGGGUGUUAGCUCUAUGUCAUGCUACAAAACAUCAACGUGGUGACCCCAUUUAAUUAUUUUCUUCAUUCACUAAGCUCCUAUAUCGGCAAGACUUCUUGCAUUUCACGGGGACAAUGGGAUACUCAAAGACAAAAGAUGAUGUUUAAAAAGAAAAUAACUAAUUAGAUGUCAAAGCUUUAUAUUAAAAGAGCUCAGUGAGAAAAACACUGAGGGAUUUUGCACAGAUACAAAGGCAAACAGGAGGUUUAUCCUAUUAACUAUGUGCUUCUAAUCCAUAUAUCCACUCAGAAUCUAGCCAUUUUAUCCAUCAGCCAGGCUGGUUUGCAUUAAAGAGGGACAAAAUCUGAAUAUGACGUGGGUAUUUCUAUGGCUUACUGUACCUUUUUUCAUAUGAUGUCAUUUUUUCUGUGUAAGUGGCUUUGCCAGGAUGAUUGCUGAAGUGAGAAUUGGAUACCAGGGUAUCAGUCAUUCUAUAUGUCUGCCACAAGUGCUCCUACUUCUUUAAUGCUGCUGAACUUUUGUUCAUAACGCACAAAUGCACACAGUUUUCAUUAUAGUACUGAAGCAUAAGUGGGGAGGACUAGAAAAUAAGAAAGUACCAGUCAGCACCUUUUUAAGCAUGCACAGUGUGUAAUUGAAAAUGUUGCAGGACCCAAUUGACAACCUAAUAUCAUUUUAAGGCAUAAAAUCAUGGAACUGUUUUCUUCAGUAUUCAAGACGUGGUUAUGACAGACACUUAUAUGCUGGCGAAGUCCCACAUAUGUUAUCAGCAAUUCUGCAGCAUGGUUACAAGGAAAAUUGUUUGCAUAUUAAUUAUUACAUCAAAAGAAGAAAAUAGUGUUCCCUGAUCCAGAAGACACUUUGGAAGUCACCAAGGAAAGCUCCAAGUGGAGGAACAACAUACAAGGUAAAUAGUGUCUUUUUCAGGGAGGAAAAAGAAAAAAAAAAAAAAGGACUGAGGCCCUGCAAAGUGCUGGUUAAGUGUAAUACACUUCAUGCAGAUUCAAAAGUGCAAAAUGCUACUAGAUAGAAGAUGAUGACAGAUCUUUGCUCUUGUCAGCAGAGAGACAGUAACUGUAUCAAGUCAUUAUCACCCAAGUUGUUACUGUGAAGUGUAAAUAAAACAAAAAUAGCGACACAGAAGAUUGUGAGAUUGUUGAUCCAGAUUCUGGAUAUUUGGAAACCAGCAACAGAAGACUCAGCUGCGAAGCACCUUCAUCUUGAACUGGAAGCUGAAUUUAGAGGAGUGCUAUGUUUUAUCAUGAAAAGAGAAAUCAUCCUGUAUCCAGACAGCUUGUGAUAAACCCGACAGCAAUAAUCUAGCACUAAAGACGGUCUAAAGCAGCCAAUUCAAAAGAAAAAUACCUUCAAGUGGUUUCGAGUAGAACAGCUUUACAGAUGAGAGAUGACAUCAAAGUAGAAACUGUGAAAGAGUUGUUGUCUUCUUGAUGAUGAGAAUUCAAUCACGAUUCACUAAUUAUACCUAUUUCAGUCGCAGUCUUUCCUGCACAGCGUUAGCAGAAGAAAGAUUUAAGACCAUCAACCACAAUACUUCACUCACUUGAAGUUCCAGUGCCAAGAUUUAGUUUAUGUAGUCACCUGCUGAAAGAAAUCCAUUCACCAAAGCACAUUUUGCUGCUAUUUAGCAUUCAGUCUUUAAGAGGCAAUGUGGAGCUUAUUUGACUCUGAUGCAGCAGAUUUCAAAUUAAAGAGGCUGAUGCAGGCCUUUUUAUCUAUAAGCUAGAAUCAGCCUCAGAGAGAGAGCUGGUACUGUCACCAUACGUUGUCUGCCGUGUGUAUAGUGUACUGGCUUGUGACUGUGCUGACAGACUUGAGGAGACAGUAUGCAGAAAAGAUGCAUCUCUGUUUUCAGCCUCCAUUCACUAGGUUACAGCAAGAAAGACCCCUAGCUAGUGCUUUGAAGAGCAGCAGUGUGCAAUUACUGUUUCUCCUGGUGAAGAACAUGGAGUCAGGUGAAGUAUUGAAAGCAUUGCCGUGCUUGCAGAGCCUGGUUUGGAUACUUCCUCACUCAUGUACCCAAACAGCCCCUCAGCACUUUGAAACUACCUUGAUAUGCUGUUUGUGCAUGUGGACUUUUACAUAUGUUUGCAAAUCCACC